rnacentral:rRNA from 1 species
CCCCCGGCCAGCUCUGGAAGACUGUAUGGGCUGGAGGGGCAGGAGAGGUAGAAGGAGAUACCUAAGUGUAGUCGGCGGGAAUGAGGUAGAUAUUAGGAAGGAACACCAGCUGGCGAAGACGGCUUACUUGGACUGUAACUGACGUUGAGGCUCGAAAGCGUGGGGGAGCAAACAGGAUUAGAUACCCUGGUAGUCCACGCCGUAAACGAUGAUUACUAGGUGUCGGAGGGUAUGGACCCUCCGGUGCCGCAGCAAACGCAGUAAGUAAUCCACCUGGGGGAGUACGUUCGCAAGAAUGAAACUCAAAGGAAUUGACGGGGACCCGCACAAGCGGUGGAGCAUGUGGUUUAAUCUGAAGCAACGCGAAGAACCUUACCAAGUCUUGACAUCUGGAUGACAGGGACGUAACGGUCCCCCUACUUCGGUACAUCCAAGACAGGUGGUGCAUGGUUGUCGUCAGCUCGUGUCGUGAGAUGUUGGGUUAAGUCCCGCAACGAGCGCAACCCUUAUCCUUAGUAGCCAGCGGGCAGGGCCGGGCACUCUAGGGAGACUGCCGGGGAUAACCCGGAGGAAGGUGGGGAUGACGUCAAAUCAUCAUGCCCCUUAUGAUUUGGGGUACACACGUGCUACAAUGGCGUAAACAGAGGGAAGCGAACCCGCGAGGGGGAGCAAAUCCCAAAAAUAACGUCCCAGUUCGGAUUGUAGCCUGCAACCCGGCUACAUGAAGCUGGAAUCGCUAGUAAUCGCGGAUCAGAAUGCCGCGGUGAAUAAGUACCCGGGUCUUGUACACACCGCCCGUCA